AUGCAAAUAUUGGGCAAUUAUAAUUGUAAAAUCAGGUCAAAUUCAACACUAGUAACUACAACAUUUUCACAUUGUAACUUUGGAUUAAAAUUGUUGGUUAACUUAAUUUUUAUACUGUGUUCUUUCAAUCUAUUUACAAACGUAUCCGUUAAAGUGUUAAACAAUAACCUUCUUGUGUUGCUUUCUGUACAUGGCAGUCCAUGUGAGCUUUGA